rnacentral:rRNA from 1 species
UACGUAGGGUGCGAGCGUUAAUCGGAAUUACUGGGCGUAAAGCGUGCGCAGGCGGUUUUGUAAGCCAGAUGUGAAAUCCCCGGGCUUAACCUGGGAAUGGCAUUUGGGACUGCAAGGCUCGAGUGCGGCAGAGGAGACUGGAAUUCCUGGUGUAGCAGUGAAAUGCGCAGAUAUCAGGAGGAACACCAAUGGCGAAGGCAGCUCGCUGGGACGUGACUGACGCUGAGACGCGAAAGCGUGGGGAGCAAACAGG